GACGAACGCUGGCGGCGUGCUUAACACAUGCAAGUCGAACGGAAAGGCCCUGCUUUUGUGGGGUGCUCGAGUGGCGAACGGGUGAGUAACACGUGAGUAACCUGCCCUUGACUUUUGGAUAACUUCAGGAAACUGGGGCUAAUACCGGAUAGGAGCUCCUGCUGCAUGGUGGGGGUUGGAAAGUUUCGGCGGUUGGGGAUGGACUCGCGGCUUAUCAGCUUGUUGGUGGGGUAGUGGCUUACCAAGGCUUUGACGGGUAGCCGGCCUGAGAGGGUGACCGGCCACAUUGGGACUGAGAGACGGCCCAGACUCCUACGGGAGGCAGCAGUGGGGAAUAUUGCACAAUGGGCGGAAGCCUGAUGCAGCAACGCCGCGUGCGGGAUGACGGCCUUCGGGUUGUAAACCGCUUUCGCCUGUGACGAAGCGUGAGUGACGGUAAUGGGUAAAGAAGCACCGGCUAACUACGUG
rnacentral:rRNA from 1 species